UAACAAGGAUUCCCUUAGUAACGGCGAGUGAACCGGGAAGAGCUCAAAUUUGAAAUCUGGCGUCCUCCGGGCGUCCGAGUUGUAAUCUAUAGAAGCGUUUUCCGCGCCGGACCGUGUAUAAGUCUCCUGGAACGGAGUAUCAAAGAGGGUGACAAUCCCGUGCUUUACACGACGACCGGUGCUAUGUGAUACGUUCUCUACGAGUCGAGUUGUUUGGGAAUGCAGCUCAAAACGGGUGGUAAACUCCAUCUAAAGCUAAAUAUUGGUGGGAGACCGAUAGCGAACAAGUACCGUGAGGGAAAGAUGAAAAGCACUUUGGAAAGAGAGUUAAACAGUAUGUGAAAUUGUUGAAAGGGAAACGAUUGAAGUCAGUCGUGUCCAUUGGGUUCAGCCGGUCCUGCCGGUCUACUCCCUUUGGACGGGUCAACAUCAGUUCUGACCGGCGGAUAAUGGCACGAGGAACGUGGCACCCUCCGGGGUGUGUUAUAGCCUCGCGUCGCAUACGCUGGUCGGGACUGAGGAACGCAGCUCGCCUUCAUGGCCGGGGUACGCCCACGUACG
rnacentral:rRNA from 2 species